UUAAGCGACUAAGCGUACACGGUGGAUGCCCUGGCAGUCAGAGGCGAUGAAGGACGUGCUAAUCUGCGAAAAGCGCCGGCGAGGUGAUAUGAACCCUUGACCCGGCGAUGUCCGAAUGGGGAAACCCAGUGCAAUCCGUUGCACUAUCGUUAACUGAAUACAUAGGUUAACGAGGCGAACCGGGGGAACUGAAACAUCUAAGUACCCCGAGGAAAAGAAAUCAACCGAGAUUCCCCCAGUAGCGGCGAGCGAACGGGGAGCAGCCCGGAGUCUGAAUCAGCUUGUGUGUUAGUGGAACGGUCUGGAAAGUCCGACGGUACAGGGUGAUAGUCCCGUACACGAAAGCACACAUGCUGUGAACUCGAAGAGUAGGGCGGGACACGUGGUAUCCUGUCUGAAUAUGGGGGGACCAUCCUCCAAGGCUAAAUACUCCUGACUGACCGAUAGUGAACCAGUACCGUGAGGGAAAGGCGAAAAGAACCCCGGCGAGGGGAGUGAAAAAGAACCUGAAACCGUGUACGUACAAGCAGUGGGAGCCUCUUUAUGGGGUGACUGCGUACCUUUUGUAUAAUGGGUCAGCGACUUAUAUUCUGUAGCAAGGUUAACCGUAUAGGGGAGCCGAAGGGAAACCGAGUCUUAACUGGGCGUUAAGUUGCAGGGUAUAGACCCGAAACCCGGUGAUCUAGCCAUGGGCAGGUUGAAGGUUGGGUAACACUAACUGGAGGACCGAACCGACUAAUGUUGAAAAAUUAGCGGAUGACCUGUGGCUGGGGGUGAAAGGCCAAUCAAACCGGGAGAUAGCUGGUUCUCCCCGAAAGCUAUUUAGGUAGCGCCUCGUGAACUCAUCUUCGGGGGUAGAGCACUGUUUCGGCUAGGGGGCCAUCCCGGCUUACCAACCCGAUGCAAACUACGAAUACCGAAGAAUGUUAUCACGGGAGACACACGGCGGGUGCUAACGUCCGUCGUGAAGAGGGAAACAACCCAGACCGCCAGCUAAGGUCCCAAAGUCAUGGUUAAGUGGGAAACGAUGUGGGAAGGCACAGACAGCCAGGAUGUUGGCUUAGAAGCAGCCAUCAUUUAAAGAAAGCGUAAUAGCUCACUGGUCGAGUCGGCCUGCGCGGAAGAUGUAACGGGGCUAAACCAUGCACCGAAGCUGCGGCAGCGACGCUUAUGCGUUGUUGGGUAGGGGAGCGUUCUGUAAGCCGUUGAAGGUGUGCUGUGAGGCAUGCUGGAGGUAUCAGAAGUGCGAAUGCUGACAUAAGUAACGAUAAAGCGGGUGAAAAGCCCGCUCGCCGGAAGACCAAGGGUUCCUGUCCAACGUUAAUCGGGGCAGGGUGAGUCGACCCCUAAGGCGAGGCCGAAAGGCGUAGUCGAUGGGAAACAGGUUAAUAUUCCUGUACUUGGUGUUACUGCGAAGGGGGGACGGAGAAGGCUAUGUCAGCCGGGCGACGGUUGUCCCGGUUUAAGCAUGUAGGCGGAGGUUCCAGGUAAAUCCGGUACCUUGUUAACGCUGAGGUGUGAUGACGAGGCACUACGGUGCUGAAGUGAUAAAUGCCCUGCUUCCAGGAAAAGCCUCUAAGCAUCAGGUAACACGAAAUCGUACCCCAAACCGACACAGGUGGUCAGGUAGAGAAUACCAAGGCGCUUGAGAGAACUCGGGUGAAGGAACUAGGCAAAAUGGUGCCGUAACUUCGGGAGAAGGCACGCUGAUGUGUAGGUGAAGCCCCUGCGGGCGGAGCUGAAAUCAGUCGAAGAUACCAGCUGGCUGCAACUGUUUAUUAAAAACACAGCACUGUGCAAACACGAAAGUGGACGUAUACGGUGUGACGCCUGCCCGGUGCCGGAAGGUUAAUUGAUGGGGUUAGCGGCAACGCGAAGCUCUUGAUCGAAGCCCCGGUAAACGGCGGCCGUAACUAUAACGGUCCUAAGGUAGCGAAAUUCCUUGUCGGGUAAGUUCCGACCUGCACGAAUGGCGUAAUGAUGGCCAGGCUGUCUCCACCCGAGACUCAGUGAAAUUGAACUCGCUGUGAAGAUGCAGUGUACCCGCGGCAAGACGGAAAGACCCCGUGAACCUUUACUAUAGCUUGACACUGAACACUGGUCCUUGAUGUGUAGGAUAGGUGGGAGGCUUUGAAGCGUGGACGCCAGUCUGCGUGGAGCCAACCUUGAAAUACCACCCUUUAAUGGCUGGUGUUCUAACGUAGACCCGUAAUCCGGGUUGCGGACAGUGUCUGGUGGGUAGUUUGACUGGGGCGGUCUCCUCCCAAAGAGUAACGGAGGAGCACGAAGGUUGGCUAAUCCUGGUCGGACAUCAGGAGGUUAGUGCAAUGGCAUAAGCCAGCUUGACUGCGAGCGUGACGGCGCGAGCAGGUGCGAAAGCAGGUCAUAGUGAUCCGGUGGUUCUGAAUGGAAGGGCCAUCGCUCAACGGAUAAAAGGUACUCCGGGGAUAACAGGCUGAUACCGCCCAAGAGUUCAUAUCGACGGCGGUGUUUGGCACCUCGAUGUCGGCUCAUCACAUCCUGGGGCUGAAGUAGGUCCCAAGGGUAUGGCUGUUCGCCAUUUAAAGUGGUACGCGAGCUGGGUUUAGAACGUCGUGAGACAGUUCGGUCCCUAUCUGCCGUGGGCGCUGGAGAAUUGAGGGGGGCUGCUCCUAGUACGAGAGGACCGGAGUGGACGCAUCACUGGUGUUCGGGUUGUCAUGCCAAUGGCACUGCCCGGUAGCUAAAUGCGGAAGAGAUAAGUGCUGAAAGCAUCUAAGCACGAAACUUGCCCCGAGAUGAGUUCUCCCUGAGACCUUGAGUCUCCUGAAGGAACGUUGAAGACGACGACGUUGAUAGGUCGGGUGUGUAAGCGCAGCGAUGCGUUGAGCUAACCGAUACUAAUGAACCGUGAGGCUUAACCUU
rnacentral:rRNA from 1 species